CUACGGGCUGCUCCAGUGGGGAGUAUUGCACAAUGGGCGCAAGCCUGAUGCAGCCAUGCCGCGUGUAUGAAGAAGGCCUUCGGGUUGUAAAGUACUUUCAGCGGGGAGGAAGGGAGUAAAGUUAAUACCUUUGCUCAUUGACGUUACCCGCAGAAGAAGCACCGGCUAACUCCGUGCGCAGCAGCCGCGGUAAUACGGAGGGUGCAAGCGUUAAUCGGAAUUACUGGGCGUAAAGCGCACGCAGGCGGUUUGUUAAGUCAGAUGUGAAAUCCCCGGGCUCAACCUGGGAACUGCAUCUGAUACGGGCAAGCUUGAGUCUCGUAGAGGGGGGUAGAAUUCCAGGUGUAGCGGUGAAAUGCGUAGAGAUCUGGAGGAAUACCGGUGGCGAAGGCGGCCCCCUGGACGAAGACUGACGCUCAGGUGCGAAAGCGUGGGGAGCAAACAGGAUUAGAUACCCUAGUAGUC
rnacentral:rRNA from 1 species